GCUUCGUUAGCUUAGCGGCCAAAGCACCUGCCCGACGUGCAGGCGACCCGCGGUUCGAGUCCGCGACGAAGCACCA
rnacentral:tRNA from 1 species